rnacentral:lncRNA from 1 species
AAACAUUUAAAAAUCAACCAAAUAAUUCAUCACAAACACUCCCCCACGCCACUCCACCCACUUUCUCCACCACCACAGCCCCUACCAAAAAAAUCCCCAAAUCUGAUGUUGGGCGCACAAAAACCACUGAUACCACUGCCUGUAUCAACAAAAUCACCUUCACCACUACAUCCAACAACGCCACCUUUAGAUCCAUCGUCGAUCCAACAAAACCCACCUUCAUCGCUAGAUCCACUACCAUCGCCACCAACAAAUACCACAACCAAAACAUGUAAACCAUCACCACCACAAUUCACUGCGUGAGGAACCUCUGCCACCACCCAUAGACAACAAAUACAGACUCACCGAGUCCAACACAGACCAACAUCCCAACCCUAUACUGACGCACCGCUACCACCCUGAAUAUUGCCUCACAACGCAACACACCCAAUCAUCGCCACCAACACCAUUGCACCGCUACUACCAUGUGGUGCAUACGUAACGAUGACAAAUAGCAGAUUGCUGCAGUGAUGAAGACAUCGCAGCGACGACACACUAAUUGAUCUACGAUGCAGGCGAUAGGUGUGCAGGUCGUUGUCGACGAUGGUGCUCGAUGAGAGAGAGAGAAAAAGUGAGAGAGGGAUUGAAAAUUAGGAAGGAAAUAAAUAUUAGGGUUUGGGGGUGUGGGUAUGUAAUUAAUUGAAUUUGAUUAUAUUAUUAUUUAAUAUAAAAAAUAUAUUAUCAUAUGAUUUUUGUAUUAUUCUGAUUUUUAAAAUGCAAUAUUUAAAAUAGG